GCGGGGCGGGACAGAGAGGUUUCUAUAAGGGGUCGUCAGUGCUGGGUGGUGCGGCCUUGGGGGAAGUGAUAGUAGCCAACAGGUCUAGUUUGGGGAAACCCGGGGGCGGGUACAUCCCGAUGCUGGGGGUCAGGGCUUGCAGGUGGGCCAGGGCCCGAGUGCCGUUGAAGGCCACGUCACAGCCUGACUGGGCUAGAAGCCAGUUCUCCACCUCCGACUGGAGCCACUGGCAGGUCUCUGCAGAGGGAGAGGCAGGUGUCCUGAGGAGGUCAGACACACCUGGAAGGACUGAGAGCGCGCAGCAGGGAGGGUGCAGCACGGCGAACACAUACUGAAGUGUUUCCAGAUGAUGCGUGUUGGAUCUGCUUGAAAAUAAUCCAGCGGUCGGGGAGGCGGUCUUUAGGUGAAACCUGAUUGACUGUUGCUAACUGCUGACGCUCGUGCUGGCUACAAGGGAGCUUAUUACACUAUUCUAUUUCUGCAUCUGUGUGAACUUUUCCAUAAUUAAAAAAAAGGUUUUAAAUGUUAAA